AUGAAUGAAUCCGGGUCGGGUGACCCUGAAUCUACCCUUUAGGUAAGUAAUACACUAUUCUCUUUACUCUCUUUUUUUCCAGAACAUUUUUUCCUAAAAAUGUCAACUAGGUAGGACACGUUCAGUUAUUUCAGUAUAUAUUAGUUUACCGUAAUGUUAAUUUAAACUACAUAUUUAGAUUAUAUCUAUGCUAUAAUACUAUCCUGUUGCCAUUAUGUUAUUAGUUCAUUAUAUAUAGGUAUGAUGAAAAAAAUUUAACUCAUUGGCCUACAAUCUAUUCUUUUUUCUUCUGAAGUCUGUUCUGUUUGCACUAUAGAUACUGAUAAGAAAGUGUUGUUACGCCUACUUACUUGUUUUAAGUGAACUCUAUUGCCUAUAUAAUAUGAAUGAAAUUUGAUAACACAAAACAAAACGUAUUAAGGAGUACCUGCGACCUUUUUUUUCGACCCUUUAAGUGGCCAAACGCGUCUCGCCUUGAGCGUCAGCUAUUUUUAACACAUGUAUUAAUUUUACGGUUUUCAAAUUUUUGCUUAAAUAUGAUUUCAGAUACGUAAGGCGUUUUUGAGUAAGCUGAUAUGUAAUUAGUCCUCCUAAUUAUAUUAUGACGACAUUUUAUAAGUAAGUAUACUUUUCCUAACCUAGCAGUUUUUUAUUUAAUUUUGUUCAUUUAUUUAUUAAAUAAAACAAAUUUAAUGAAUUUCAUCGCAAUAACCAAAUAUUUACUGUAAUUAUUUUCAAACUAAUUCCUCAUAACCAAAUUUUUAUUGUUCCAAAAAGUGAUAUUCUCGUAUAUAUAAUUAAAAUUGUAUUGAUAAUUUUAGUUUCUUUAUGAUAUAUUGAAAUCUUAAUCUACGAAAAUAAAUACAAAACGCCUUUGUUCUCUGUUUAAACUGGAUACUUCCCAAUUUUCAGAUGUUCCAAGUAACGAGGUAUCGAGUGCCACUGAAUGCUGUCCUGUUAUUUUAUUUUGAGCUAAACUACCACAUUCAGCAUCUCUACACUCGACCCGCGACCCCAAGAACCAGUGUUCUUCUACUCUAGACUUGGUAAUAUUAGUCCCUACAAUGCAAGUUACAUCGGUAGAGUGAAGCCAAGAGGAGAA